GGUUUUAGUUCUCAAAGUCAAGGGGUAUUCUUCCUGGAUCUAUCACCUGGAUUUCUUACCUAGAAGAAUAUGGAGAACUUACGCUACAGACUGCAGAGGCACUAAGUAGUGCCUAAAGGAACUUGCCUAUCAAUUGCCUAAAGGAUUCAACUCAAGGAUUGGAAGAAUUGAGAAGACUGCUAGGCACUGGAGCAUGGAGAGACCUUCAGCCUCUGUGGAUAUACCACAGAAUAAAAUUAUCAACUCUUUAAACUUUACUGACUGUACUGAGCAGAAUUCUGACUAGAAUCUCUUCCCCACAUAGAUAUCCCUUUUCAUGACACAUGGUAAGAUGAAUCUCACCUCCUGUUCUGUGUAGGUAUGUCUACAGACUAUUUUAGGACACCUAGAUGAAUUUCAGCUGUCUAAAGUUAUGUGAGACAAAGCCCACUCACAAGGCUUAGAAACUUCUCCCUAUAAGCUGCAAAACACACAGUGCUGCAGUUCUGUAAAAUUUGCCAAAGCAAUUACUUCAGCAUUAAAUGUGUGUGAAAUACUUGCACAGAGAUAGUUUUCAAGAUAUUCACAAGAUAUUCUUUCCAUAGGAAGAUUUGAAGACACAUCUUUUACCUCUUCAGUCAAUAAACCCCCCAAAAUAUAUUAGGUUUUUUUUUAAUUUAGCACUCUUCUGGUUACAAUUAUUUAACUUUGCAUGGCUUAAUUAAAAAGCAUCCAAUUCAGAGAAAGAUUGAUAAAGCCAGAUAGGAAAGAAAAUUAGAAAUUGGUAACAAGGAGUAUGAGUAGGAAGACAGGGAACUAUUCAAAAGAGAAAGGAAAAAAAACAGAAGCAGUGACAAGGAGAGACAUCCUGAAAGUUUCCUGUGAGGAUUAUGUAUUAUUUAUUCAGUGACAAAAUUAGAACAGCCUGCACAUUUGA